GUUCAUUCGGGGACAGCAGGCGUCACCAGGUGUGCAUCGUUAGGCUGUGAGUGACUGGACAGUUGUGGAAGAAAGAGGAAAUGACUGCUGAAGUUGGUGCACACGCAGAGUUGAAAACAUUUGACACACAGAGCAGGUGGUGAGAGUGGAGCUACAGAGACAUCCAGAGGAUCAACCGGGACUUACACGCUGAACUUUGUGACUCCUGCAGUCGCAGAUACACAAGAAAAGAAAACUCCAUCGGGUACACCAACAUGUUGUAGAAGACUCAGGUGGUCCCGGUCCGGCCGCAGUGAAAGUGACGGCUCAGUUUUAAAAGCAGUAAGCUUAGAGAGACGGGAGGAUAUCCUGCCAUCCUCUCCUGCAGAUCAGGGUGUCCAACACCAGCCGACGGCGUGUCCUCAUCAGCUGGAGCUGCUGCCCUGCUUCCCCGUUGAAGCUGAAACGCAUCAACAUCAAGACUGAGAAACUCCAACAUUAAUUUACUGGAUGUGGCGUAAGCUUCUGUUGGUGGUACUGUCUUUGAAGCGUCUCUUGGCCUCGGCUCUCUCCUCCGAGUCGAAAUACCAAACUGUGAUGGCGUACCUGAAACAAACAACAACACCACUGAUGUUUAUUACAACGUUAAGUAGUUUUUCACCAUCACAGUGUCUGUAAAGGGAAUUCAAACCCCCCAGCAUGUUUUCUUAAACAGGUUUUGUGAUUAAAGCACCUGUCUGCCAAAA